AGCGGAGCGUGUGGUUAAUUCGAUGCUACACGAAGAACCUUACCAGGGUUUGACAUGCAAGUGGUAGGAAUCUGAAAGGGACCGACCUUCGGGAGCUUGCACAGGUGCUGCAUGGCUGUCGUCAGCUCGUGUCGUGAGAUGUUCGGUUAAGUCCGCUAACGAGCGCAACCCUCACUGUGUGUUAUAUGUGUCACACGGGACUGCCGGUUUUAAGCCGGAGGAAGGUGGGGAUGACGUCAAGUCAGCAUGGCCUUUAUAUCCUGGGCUACACACACGCUACAAUGGUCGGUACAAUAGGUUGCCAAGCCGCGAGGCGGAGCCAAUCCACAAAGCCGGCCUCAGUUCAGAUUGUAGGCUGCAACUCGCCUGCAUGAAGAUGGAGUUGCUAGUAACCGCAGGUCAGCAAUACUGCGGUGAAUACGUUCCCGGGUCUU
rnacentral:rRNA from 1 species